UUUCUUCCAUCCCUUUUAUACGGGCCCCUCCCCUACCUCUAGUAGUGAGCAGUAGGGGAGGGGUCCUACAAAAGGGAUGGGAGAAA